rnacentral:rRNA from 1 species
AAUGAACGUUGGCGGCGUGGAUUAGGCAUGCAAGUCGUGCGAGAACCGUAGCAAUACGGGGACAGCGGCGUAAGGGAGAGGAAUACGUGGAUACGUACCCUCGGGCCCAGGAUAGCUGCGGGAAACUGCAGGUAAUACUGGAUAACAUCUCCGGAUCAAAGGUGUGAUUCCGCCCGAGGAGCGGUCCGCGUCCUAUUAGCUAGUUGGUGAGGUAACGGCCCACCAAGGCGAAGAUGGGUAUGGGGCGUGAGAGCGUGCCCCCACUCACUGGGACUGAGACACUGCCCAGACACCUACGGGUGGCUGCAGUCGAGAAUCUUCGGCAAUGGGGGAAACCCUGACCGAGCGACGCCGCGUGCGGGAUGAAGGCCUUCGGGUUGUAAACCGCUGUCAGAGGGGAGGAAGUGCUGGUGGGUUCUCCCAUCAGUUUGACCUAUCCUCAGAGGAAGGACGGGCUAAGUUCGUGCCAGCAGCCGCGGUAAGACGAACCGUCCAAACGUUAUUCGGAAUCACUGGGCUUAAAGGGUGCGUAGGCGUCCCGGGAAGUUGGGUGUGAAAGCCCUCGGCUCAACCGAGGAACUGCGCCCAAAACUGCCGGGCUCGAGGGAGACAUAGGUGAGCGGAACUUAGGGUGGAGCGGUGAAAUGCGUUGAGAUCCUAAGGAACACCAGUAGGGAAAGCGGCUCACUGGUUCUCUUCAGACGUUGAUGCACGAAAGCUAGGGGAGCGAAGAGGAUUAGAUACCCUCGUAGUCCUAGCUGUAAACGAUGAGCACUGGUUUGGAGGGUCCUCCAUAGCCUUCCAGACGUAGCGAAAGUGUUAAGUGCUCCGCCUGGGGAGUAUGGUCGCAAGGCUG